ensembl:lncRNA
GACCAGCACAGACCCAGGCUCUUCAGAGAACCAGAGCCAUGCACAGUGGUAGCUCAUGAGCCAUAUCCAACAUAUUUUGUUUGGUUCACACAGUGUUAAUUUUUUUUUUAAUUGGCUGCCAACAUUUUUAAAAAUCAAGAGAUAUCUCUUAAAUUUUGUAAUUUCUGGCUUCCCUUGAAAAAUCAGAAAAUUUGGCAGUACUCAGCCUGUGCGCUCACAUGGUUCCCAGCUGACUUCAUCUGAAUGGCAGUGACUUCAUUGGCUCAGUUUCAUAUUCUUGGGUGGAGCAGUAAACUUCCCUGAGCCUCAAGUUCCUCCUCUGCAAAAUGGGGAUCUUUUCACUCAGCUGAUAGAGAGUUGCAAUGUGCUAAGAACUGAACUGGGAGAAGGAAAUGGCAUCCCACUCCAGUACUCUUGCCUGGAAAAUCCCACUGACAGAGGAGCCUGGCUGGUGGUCAGAAUAAGGAGAAGAAGGAGAAGAAAAGGAAGAGGAGGAGGAGGAGAAAUGCCAAUACCAGG